UAGAAAAUAAUAUUUUAUAAAGUCCGUUCGCGUGUUUGGUCGUUUCAGACUAUGGACGGGUGAAACGUACCCAGUUGCAGUUUGAUUAUAUUGCAAUCGAUCAAAAUGAAAACAUCGGUUACAAUUAUUGUUAAGGAAUUCCCAAAUUCAAUAUUAUUUAUAACCGACUAAUAAUAACAUUUAAUUACGUCGAGAUACUAUUGCCCGUAUCGGUAUUUCUAUAGGUUUUUCAUUGAUGAGUUAUUUUUAGAAUGUUUUUACCAAAUUCCUCGUGACCCGCACAAUGGUUAUUAACGAUAUGAAUAUUAUUUAUUAUCAAAUUAUAAUGUUAUAUUUAUAUCGCCUGUGACAAUCGCCAAUUGUGUUGACGUUCAAAUAAUUCAAUCGAACAAAAAUAAUAAACCGAGACGUGAAUAGAAAGACAAGUCGUUAAGCAGUAAAUAAUAUAACUUAAACUCGCACAUUUCGUUACGUUCGGGUUAUUUUCAUCAAAUAUUUCGAUACUUUCAAGUUUCAGUUCGGAGCGGGACAAAGGCAGCUGUUUCUUCGGCGGCGGACAUCUGAACGUCUGGUCCUUGAUACAUAUGACACAGCUCUACGUUUCGUCGGAAGAGUCCGUGUUUACGCAUUCUUCAACCGUAUGACUGCAGUGUGUCAAUGGGACUGGAUCAUCUGGAUCAUUGUCACCUAAAUUAAUAAAAUGAAUAUUGUUAAUUCAUAAGUAAAAUAAAACAGCUUACAUAGUA